GUUGUCGUACCUGGGGAGGGAGGCAGGGGUCAGAGGGAUGCUCCCGGCCACCCCAGCCUCCCGCGUUCUCUGACCCCUUCCUCCGUACCAGGAGAUGAGCUUCACGAAGUUGUCGUUGAGCGCGAUGCUGGCGUUAGCGUCGAAGAUGGACGAGUGGCUAUCGCCGACAAAGUCCGUGGAGACGACCUGGGCGUCAGAAGGUCAAAGAUAAGUGUGGGUCGCGGAGCAGAGACCUCUAGGAGCGCAGGCUCUGACCCUGAGGCCCACUGUCCAUCCGUCGUCUGUUAUAUCUGAUGGAGCCCUGCAGCGUCCGGGUUCUGGGGACGGGGUGUGAGGAAGGCGCACGGGGACUUUGCCUGGGGGGUGCUGGCCAAAGGACACAGGCAAACACCUGAUGCUGCCCCAGUAAACAGCACUUCCUGGGAAUAAGGCAGGCGCUUGGAGUGGGCCAGCACGCAGCCCUCUCUGAGGGAGGCCGGUAGGCUGGGUCUGCGUGACUCGGAGGAUCUGGCCGACUCAGCCCUCGGCAGUGCCUGAGGUGGAAGGGGCUGCGGCACAGAGGCCCUGAGGGUUUGGCCCUAGUGUGGUGGAAGGCCAGCGGGGCAGUGGGGGUGAUGUGAUCUGAUCUCAUUAAAACAAGUAAUCCUGGCGGCUGUGUGAAGGUGGGCCUGCAGGAGAUAAAGCAGGGAGACAGCACCAAAGGGGGACAUACAGAGAUGGCACUACUGGGGGCAAAGAGACAGUGACAUCCAUUCCUUACAGGGAAGGCACCUGGCCAUAGCCUGCCCCGAACAAGUGGUGAAAAACGGGAGCUGUUGUUGUGUUCACUAAGCAUGUAUUGAGCACCUGCUGUGUGCCAGGCCCUGGGAAGACCGCUGGAGCCAUGGAAGUGAAAAGAUAGCCCCCAAAUCCCUGCUCUCUUGGAGAGCACAUGCUAGCAGGGCCCACAGUGACUGUGAAAUGAAAUUUCAGGUGAGGAAAGGGCCACAAAAAGAACUUCUUGCUGAGAAGGGAGGUUGAAGUAGAGAUUUGGAGGAGGGGAGGGCAGAUUGUGUGGCCACCAGGGGGCAGAGCUUUCCAGACCACAGGAGCAGCAAGUGCAAAGAGCCUGAGGCAGGGAGAUCUGACCUUCCCAGUCCUGCAGUUCCUAUCUUGGUCCAUCAUGAGCAGCUUCUUAGCAAGUGGAAAAUCACGCUCCCUCCCCAGAGGGCACCUCCCAGGGUCCCCUCUUCUCAGCCCCUACCUCAUCCUCGGUGUAGGCAAGGAUGCCAGCCAGGGGCCCCUUGGCUGCUGCUUUUAUGGCCUCCUUGAUGGCUGAGUAUGGGGUAGGCUGGACCAGGCGGCAGGUCAGGUCCACAACAGACACGUCUGGGGUUGGUACCCGGAAUGCCAUUCCCGUCAGCUUCCUGGAGUAUCCCACAUCAGGGGUGGGAAUCAGAACCCAGAGACUUCUCCAUCCAUCCCCCCUGCCUCUGCUUUCCCCUCAAUAGACACCUCAAGGAUUGGGGGCCAGUCUGGUCCUGCUGAGGUGCAUCCCCCACCCUGGUUGCAGCUUCGUGCUCUCAUACCCUUUGAGGUCUGGGAUGACUUUGCCCACAGCCUUGGCAGCCCCUGUGGAGGCUGGGAUGAUGUUCUGGUGGGCGCCCCGUCCGUCUCGCCAGGCCUUCUUUGAUGGCCCGUCCACCGUCUUCUGGGUGGCAGUGUAGGAAUGGACUGUGGUCUUGGGAAAGAAGAGGGCCAAGGUGAGGCUUGCCUGCUCCUAAGCUCCCAUAUGUCUUUUUCCCAGGCCCAGGGUGGUGGCCCAGGUGUGGAGGCUGGUGGGGCCACCACCACAGACCAUAGGAGGGGCACGUGCAGGCUGGGGUCCAGCCUUGUCUGCGAGUUGCACACUGUUUUAAAAGGCUUCACCACUGGUGGGCCUCUCCUCCUGAAACCAGUCUCCCUGUUAAGUCCACACACUAAGCAAGUCCUGGGAAGAAGACGUAGUUUCCCUGCCAUCCCUCCUGCCCCCACCCCUGUCCCCAGCUCACCAUCAGCCCUUCCACGAUCCCAAAUCGCUCAUGGAUGACCUUGGCGAGGGGGGCCAGGCAGUUGGUGGUGCAGGAUGCAUUGCUGAAACGGCCCGGGUGUGCAGGGGCUCUGUGAGGUGAGGCGCAGAGCCAGCCCUCCACCCUCGCCUGUCUCUCGGGGUAAGCACACAGGCCUGGCUUUGUGAGAAGUCAGGAUGGGGAUGAGGAGGAUCAUUGGGGAUGCCUUCAGACUGAAGGAGGCACCAGAGGUGCAGCUGGGGAAGCUCCCCAGGCACGUUCUCCAGAAGUUGUGCAUUUCUGACAGUUUUAGGGUCACGUUAACAUGGUGGCUAAGGCUUGGGGAAGGAGAAACAGAUUGACGUGCAGGAAGCACUAGGAGUUGAGAGGGAGUGGGCGUGGGGAGGGUGAGUCCGAUCCCUCCCCACCACAGGCUGGCACGUGCUCCAGGCACCAACCACACACUUCAGGGUGUUGCUGCCCGUUACCUGACAAUUUUCAUAGAGCCAGGGUUGUAGUCCUUUUCGUUCACCCCUAUGACGAACAUGGGUGCAUCCGGUGAGGGCGCGCAGAUGACCACACGUUGGGCGCCUGCCUCAAUGUGGCUCUAGCAGAGGAGCACAGGUGUCAUGAGGUGCUUCGAGUGCCACACCCUCACCCCAGUCAGCCCUGGGCACCUCUCCCCCACUUACCGAAGUUUCCUGUAAGGACAGGUACACGCCUGUGGACUCCACCACAAAGGGGCUCCCGACGGACCUCCAGGGGAUGUCUCUGGGCUCCUUGCUGGGGAGGGUGGCAGUGCCAUGAGUCACUCUCCCCCAUGGGGCCUCACCCUCUCCGUCCACGGCCUUCAGCGUUCCAAAGGCUGACCAGACACCUUCUCUCCUGGCCUGCAGCCGUCUGUCCCCCCACCCCUCACACACGGGGCUGCCCCAGAUGGAUUCCACCCUGCUGGUCUUGCCUCAGCACUGACGCCCCUUGCAGGCCACUUUUCUUGACUGCAUCACCCCUGCUAUGCCUGGGUACAAGCUGCCACCUCCCCAGUAGGCCUCAACCUCCCCAGGGGGACCAUCCCUGACUCCUCCCAGCCAGGUCAGGCCCUUUGUACAUGUGCUUCCUAGAAUGUGACCUGGGGAGGGCAAGGCCUGCCCCACUGCCUCUGGUCUCCAGCCCUGGCACCCUCAUCACGGCCCUCCUCGCCCCUCUUGUCUUUACCACUCAGCUCCCGCAACAGGGAGCCUGCUGCCAGAGGCCGGGCAGGUCCCUGAGGAUAGACGCUGCCUCUAGAGAGCAGCUCCCGGGGGAGGACUGAGGCCUGGGGCAGCCCUGGGCCCAGCAGGGGCUAGUGGUGUAUGUUGGGAAGGUAAAGGAAAUUUUCUGUUUCCUUUUUAUAAGUUUACAUUUUUUUCUGAUAUUUUGCCAAAUGUUUAUAUUUGAAACAUAUUAAACAUCUAGCAUUGCUGUUUUCUACCUGGCUUCAGCAAACAAGCAGUAAAUGAAUAAACAAUGUUCUAGUCUUUUCCCUCACAGGGUUUAUCACAGCUGCAGUAUUUGCUUCUGUGAUCAUUUGUUAGCAUGUCUUAUCUUCUGGACUACACCACAGCAGCAGGGCUGGCCAUCGAGCCUUCCCCCCGCAGAAGGGUUUGGUCAGUGUUUGUGGGGUUUUGUGUUAUUAGCCAUUCUACACAGUUUACUGACUGCCUGCCAGGCGCCCCUGUCUCGUUGCGUUCCCUGUCCUGAACCCAGGUAACCCUCACGGCCUGAGGGUAAGGACUGUUACUACUGGCAUUUUUCAGAGGAGCCAGCUGGCAUCGCAGGCCGGCUGGCCUAGGAUCUGCACUCUUAGCUGUGCUGCCUGAACGAAGGAAUGAAUGAAUGAGCGGCUGCCACUCUUCCCCCUGGGCCACAACACAUCCUUCUCUUUGCCUGGUCAUCUGCUCUGUCAGGGAACACUUUUCAUCAUCUGGCCCAACUAGCUCUUCUCUGAUGCCCCCAUUUCCUGCCUUCCCAGCAGGGGGUGUGCACUUCUACAAAUUCCUCCAAUAGCAAUUGCUGAGCUGGCAUGGGGCAAAGAGUUGGCGCCCCAGGAGACCCCAGCCCCUUCUCUAUGCUGUGGGCUCUGCCCUCCUGCCCAGAGGGCUGUUUUGAGGUUUCCAUUCACUCCUUCAAGGAAGCCCUGAGUCUACUCAGCCAGGGCCUUCGCCUGUGCCUCUGGGUGCCAAAGCAAUGAUGGUGACGCAAACCAACAGGGCCCUCCCUGCAAGGAGGCUGCGGCCUUGCGGGAAAUGCCCUUCCCAGUGCUCCCCACUAUGGCUGUGGUGGACAUGACCAUCGUCCCCAUCAGAUGACCUAGGAAACUGAGGCUCGGGGAAGUCCCAUCCCUUGCCCAGGGUCCCCCAACUCGGAAGGGUGGAACAGGGUAAGGUCAUGCAAGCAGCGCGGCUCGUGCGGAGCCCUGGAGAACACCCACGGUGCAGUGAUGGAGAGCGGACGGAGAGGGUAACCAGAGAAGGCAGCACCUGAGGGGGCACACAUGGAGGGACAGCUGUGGGGAUGGGGAAGGGGUGGGGGGAUGCCCCAAGGGGCAGGAAUGCCGGUGCCCAGGCCGAGGAAGGAAAGGACAGGGCACGUCUGAGUGGUGACGGCUCUGCUGGGAUUGGUUGUGGCGUCGUGAUUCUAAACGGGUCAAGGAGCUUCUCCCAUUGCCCAGACUCUCCAGUCCCCGCCUCCACCCAGCCCUGACAACCUCCCUACAGCCUUCCCUGCUCUCAUUAUCUCUCGCCCCACCACCAACAAAAGAGAGGAGAGGGGCUGAGAGGAGCCACUGGGAGGAGCGCUGGGAAGGCUUGUGAGCACGCACGUGCAAGUCCGAGGCUGCCCCGGGUCUGGCAGUGGCCAAUUAUAUUAGAUAAAGUAGGUCUGCUGUUUUCCGUUUUAUAAAUUUUUUUUGAUGUCUUGAAAAUGUUUGUAUUUGAAGCAUAUUAAACAUCUAAUGUUACUGCUUUGGACUUACAGAUUCUAAACAUCCUUAAAUGAAGGAGGAUUAUUACUGAGAACCAUGUGAAGUGGGUACUAAGGAGUCAGCAUUGCCGAGUGUCAGAGGUGCUGGCUCAGGGUCCCAAGAGGUGGAUGCCAGUGUGGCUGAGGUGACAUGGGAAGGCCGGGAGGUGGGGCACAUAGUGGUUGGGGGCCCCAUCAGGAGCUGGGGUUUUAUUCGUGGAGUGAAGGGAAGCCAUUGGAGGAUUUAAGUAGGAGUAGCCAGGUCCAGUUGAUGUUUGAAAAAGGCCUCUGGCUGCUGCCUAGGAACCGAGUGGAAGUGCUUGGCUAGAUGGCGAUGCCAUUUCCUGGGAAGGGAGAUGAAUAGGUUUGGGGGUUGGAGGAGAAUCAGGAGUUGAGUUUUAGACAAGUUGAGCUGGUAUGCCUGUGAGAAAGCAUGCAAAUAUGUGUUAAAUAAAAAGUAUUCUUGAGUACAGUGAAGCAUCUGUCUAGAUUAGUGCUUCUUAACCAUUUUAGGGGUCAGGGACUUCUCUGAGACCCUCUCUCCAAACCGGUACCCAGUGGCAUGCACAUACACAAUUUGGGGGGUUGUGAGCCCCAUGUGAGGCUGGAAUCCCACUUCAGUCAUCUCUACAUCCGCUGCAUUAAUAUGUUGCAGGUGUGCAUCAGAGCUGCCCUUACCACUGGAAGACACGGAUCUCGCGGUUAUCCACGACCAGCUGUCCGUUCUUGUACUCCACACUCCCCUUGUAUCGGCCGUGGGUGGAGUCAUACUUAAACAUGUACACCUGCGGGAGACAGCGGGCUCCUAGUCUUGGGGUGGUAGGGGUGGGGGAGCGAGCAUCCUUAGGGAGUUCCCACCUUGGUCAAGGUUCCACUUUGCAGCUGGGAGCCUUCCAUGCAGCUCCCCUGAACCCCUCCCCACUCCAGCCCUGCCCCUCCCGAUCCUCCCCCCUGCCUGCUGCUCACCAUGUAUUCUGGGUCAAUGAACGGAUCAUUCACUGCCACCACCUUAACGCCCUUCUCCAUGCAGGCACGAAGCACCAGGCGACCGAUGCGUCCAAAUCUGGAUCGCCCUGACGCCUCCCUCACCCGGGCAUGGGCACGGUUGUCGCAGCAGCUGGACGACGGUGACAUUGGUGAGGACGAUGUCGCGUUUCGACAUGGCCUCCUAAGGUUUCAUAGCCUAGACGUCCCUGGACCCACCACGAUGUUACUGUGAUGUGAUGCGGGGCGCCGGGGCUCCUGGGGCGGGAGCUCCUUGCUGUGACGUCACAGUGCCCAGUGACGUCACAGAGGCCCUAUCCCAGUCGGGGCCUGUGACUUCCGCACCACCGUUCCAAGGCCACCCACUGAGGAAUCCAAUUUUUGCAAUGGUCCUCAAAGCCCUUUCCUCUCCUUCUGUCUCUCUCCGCAACACCUCCAGACCCCCAUUCCUUGACCCCACUCUGCGGAGUUACCCUAGCUGGUUCCUUUUGCCAGGAAAGCCCUGCCCAGGUCUUCCCCGGGCUGCCUCUUGGUUUCCCUCAGAUGCCACCCUUUAAGAGAGGCCCUCCUCACUCCACAUCAAAAGUUCUCUUCUUUCUCAGUCCCCAUCUGCUGACAUCCCACCCCCCUCAAUCUACCCAUCUUCCAGGAAGCCUUCUCUGACUUCCCAUCCUGAGUUAGAUGUUCCAAUGUGCCAAACCACUCCAGGGUUACACUGUCUCUUCUCUGGAAAACUCAUCUUGUUUAUUCAUUUGUUUUCUUACCAGUUGUCUCUGCCCACUGGCCUGUAAGCUCUGGGAAGGCAGAGUGCUUGUCACCUUCAUCACUUUUAUGUCCUAGUGACUAAAAGAAUGUUUGGCACUUAGAAGGUGCUUGCUCAAUAAAUAAUACCAGAAUGAAUAAAUAAACAUCACCUCCUCAGGUUUUUUCUGAUCUCCAAUCUCAAAGCAACUUCCACGUCAUAUCCUCUCGCAGCACCCCAGUUUCUUCCUUGUGGCCUUUCAUAUCGUUUGUUAUGAUCUAGUUAUUGAUGGAUUUGUUCACCGUCUCCCCCGGGGGGCUCUAAGCCCCCAACAGGGCGUGCAUUCUUGUCUGUUUUGCUCAUCACUGGUCUUCCAGUACCUAGAACUGGGCCUGGCACAAAACAGGCUCUCAAUAAACAGGGAAGAACAAACGCUGCGUCAGAUGGCCCCCUUCCCCUAAAGCCCUGGGGGUGGGGGCUUGCUUGCACAUCUGUGACUCACAGGCAGGCACCUUCACCUGCAGGGCCAGGUGACGCAGCUGUGACCAAGAUUUAAGGGGUGUGGGGGUUUGGGCCAGGAAGGAGUCACCAGCCCAGAGAGAGGUGUGGAAGCCAGAAGGGGCAGAGUGACAUAAAUUCUUCCUUCCCCAAACCUCCAUGGGACUCCGUUCACCAAGCACCUGUCACGGGACAGAGUGAGGAUGGCCUGGGCAAAGUGAAAGUAAAUUGGGUGCACAAAUGGAGAGGUUUCAAUAAGCCAAGACCAAAAAGCAAAUAUUAAUAAAAUGAAGGGGGACAAACUUAACAUGUACCAUCAAGGGAGGGAAGAGAGACCACACAAAUAAAACCAGGGCUGAAAGGGGCUGAUUUUGUAUAACUUUACAAUCAUAGAUGUGAAAAGCUAGAUGCAAUUAAAAAUUUUCUUAGAAAAUAUAAAGGAUCAAAACUGGUGCAAAAAGAAAUGGCAAAUCUGAAUAGGCCAGAAACAAGAGAAGAAACAAAGACUGAAGAUCUAUCCUUGCAAAGGCUGAUUCAGAUCUAGACGACUGCAGGCGGGAUCUGCUGAGCCUUGGGAAUAUGUGCCCGUCUCCAGGAACUGGUGUGGAUCCUGGCAGGAGGUGGGUGGCCUGGCAGUGGCUCCUGGGGGAAGAAGCUCUGGGUGGGCACGUGCUCUGAGACCUGCAGAUCAGCAGGCACACUGUACGUAUGUCGCUGUGAUGGCUCAGCUACUGAAACCUCCCCGCUCACUCUAGGGAAGCGGCACAGCGACCUUACCACAACCAGCAGAGGACCCCAAGGAAGGGACAGCAGCUCCAGACCAAUCUCACUUAUGGAGCCAGAUGCCAAAGCCUUGAGUGAAACAGUGGCAGAUGGGAAUGGAGAGACCGAGGAGAGGGCCUGGGGUUGAUGGAAGAUGGUAGGUUGGGGCAGAAGAGAGAAGGGGAGUACAUUUCAAAAGGAGAAGCCCCUCUUGUAAUCUUGGGGCAGAUUAGGAUUCUGAACUCACCCCCCACCCUUCCCCACCCAGCAGUUGGGCAUGGGAAACUCUCUCAUUUAGGCACUGGACAAGGGCACGAAAGCCACGCCCAAGGUUGCCCAGGGAUUGCUCUGUCCCUGGAGUGUGAAACCGGGAAACAGAUUUGAUGAGCUCAAGCUUGGAGAGGUGGCUCAAUUAGUCACGCUCCAGAGGCAGAGCCUAGAGCAGGCAGAAGCUCGGGGUCUCUGGGCCCGGGUGGAGCCAAGUUUCCCGGAUCUGGGGUGGAACGCUGGGUCCUGUAAGGGGAGUGGGCCUGUCACCCUUGUUUGCGCGAAGCCUGAAAACACGUGCAGAUUCUCGCCACACCUGGGCACCCACACACAUAACUCUGCCGCCCCCACUUGCUCACACCCUGCACAUUCCUUCCUGCCUGGCCCUCCCACCAGCCAUCCCACCUCCACUUCCUCUUUCCAUCUCUCCCCUUGGCACCAAAACCCAAUAUCUUUCACCCCUGCACAACUGUACCCACCCACCAGCUCUCGUCCUUCUGGUCUCUGCCUCCCUCUGAACUAGCUCCAGGUCGGGAUGCUGCGACAGACCUAGCAGCCACCACUUACCUUUCCUUCUGAUGCCCCUCUUCACGCCCAGGCCAAACUCACAGCCACUUCCCCCUCCAACUCGUGCCACUAUGUCAGCACGUGGGGCUUCAGGUUGGAACCUAGGAGGAGGAGGGCAGAAGGAUGAGCUCCUGGCCCCCAGCCCUCCCGGCUGACAGUCUCCUGCUGCCCCUGGUCUUCGGCCCCUCCCUGUGGCUGCCUCAACCGGCUUUUCAGGAGACACUGCGUCCUGUUCCAGCUCGUGGCAAUCAGCCCCCUGCCCUUGCCCAAGGGCUGGGAGGCAGGAGGCCAGGAUUCUGUGACAAGAAUGUGAUCCUGGCUCCAAAAUCUGCAGCCCUCCCCAAGGGACCCUGGGUUUCCCAGGGGACCCAGGUAGCCUUCCUUCCAGCACCCCUGGAGACUCAGGCUCAGGCCUGGCCUCUCCUCCCUUGGCUUUUUCUAAUCCAUCCUUUGUUCAAUCUAUAAAUAUGUACUGCCCCCCAGGCAAUGUUAGAAGUUGGGGCUAUAACAGUGACCAACACAGACGAAGACCCUGUCUUCUGUAAGUUUACAAUCUGGUAGGUGAGACUGACAAUAAAAAAGAUGAAUUUUGGAUUGUGGUAAGUGCUAUAAAAACAACAGGAUGAUAUGACAGAGUAUAACUAGGGGACGGCCAGGGAAGGUUUUUUGAGAAGGUGACAUCUGAGCUAAGAACAGAAUGAGGAGGAACCCGCCAUGUGGAGAUCUGAGUUCUGCAUUCUAGGCAGAGAGAACAGCAAGUCAAAGGCCAUGAGGCAGGAAUGAGCUUGGUGUGUCUGAGGACCAAGGAGAAGACCUGUGUGGCUGGAGCAGAACUCUCACUGCUGGGGAAGCUGGAUGCUUAGACCCCCUGAGGAGAGUGAAGAUGCUGAAGAACAAGGCCCAGGUGCCAGGGAUGGGGGUGACUGAAGCUGGGAUUGGGAGAGAGGAGGCCUGGAUAGUGAGUGAGGAAUGAAAAGAGCAGGUGGAUGGAAGGGCAGACAUCUGGGCUCUGGGGUGGAGGGCCCAAGCUGGGCCAGGAGCAGAGAUGCCCUGUGAGUCUUCUCCAUUCAUGACUCACCCUCUCUUCCUCCUUCUCUUCAUUGCUCAACCCCAAAUCUCCCUGGGAAAUACCUCCUUGACUAGGGACCAAGUCAGUGCCUCAAAGGAGUAGUUGAGUCAUGAGGGGUGGAGAAGAGGGAGGGAGGCAGAGGAUAAAUAGCAGCUUUGCUUCCCUGGCUCCUCUCUGCAUCCUCCCUGCCCUCCCAACAAUAUGCAUCUUGCCAGUUUGGUCAGCUCCUGCUCCCUUCUACUGCUGUUGGGGGCCUUGCCUGGAUGGGCAGCCAACGAUGACCCCAUUGAGAAGGUCAUCGAAGGGUUCAACCGAGGGCUGAGCAAUGCAGAGAGAGAGGUGGGCAAGGCCCUGGAAGGCAUCAAUAAUGGAAUCACUCAAGCCGGAAGGGAAGUGGAGAAAGUUUUUAAUGGACUUAGCAACAUGGGCAGCCAGGCCGGCAAGGAGGUGGACAAGGGCAUCCAGGGAUUCAACAAUGGCUUGGACAAGGUAGCCCAUGGGAUCAACAAUGGCGUCGGACAAGCAGGAAAGGAAGCAGAGAAGUUUGUCCAUGGGGUCAACCACGCUGCUGGACAGGUUGGGAAGGAGGCAGACAAAAUGAUUCAGGGGGUUCAUCAUGGGGUGAACCAGGCAGGAAGUGAGGCAGGGAGGUUUGGCCAGGGGGUCCACCAUGGGGUCAAUGAGGCCUGGAAGGAGGGAGAGAAGUUUGGUCAGGGGAUCCAUCAUGGAGUUACCCAGGCCGGGAAGGAGGCAGAGAAGGUUGGUCAGGGGAUCCAUCAUGGAGUUACCCAGGCCGGGAAGGAGGCAGAGAAGCUUGGCCAGGGGAUCCAUCAUGGAGUUACCCAGGCCGGGAAAGAGGCAGAGAAGGUUGGUCAGGGGAUCCAUCAUGGAGUUACCCAGGCCGGGAAGGAGGCAGAGAAGUUUGGUCAGGGGAUCCAUCACGGAGUUACCCAGGCCGGGAAGGAGGCAGAGAAGGUUGGUCAGGGGAUCCAUCAUGGAGUUACCCAGGCCGGGAAGGAGGCAGAGAAGGUUGGUCAGGGGAUCCAUCAUGGAGUUACCCAGGCCGGGAAGGAGGCAGAGAAGCUUGGUCAGGGGAUCCAUCAUGGAGUUACCCAGGCCGGGAAGGAGGCAGAGAAGCUUGGUCAGCAUGUUCAUUAUGCCGCAGGGCAGGCUGGGAAGGAGGGAGACAAAACAGCCCAAGGUGUCCAUCCUGGGGUCAGCCAGGCUGGGAAGGAGGUGGAGCACUUUGGCCAGGGGGUCCACCAUGGGGUUAAUGAGGCCUGGAAGGAGGCAGAGAAAUUUGGUCGGGGGGUCCACCAUGCUGCUGGGCAGGCUGGGAAAGAGGGAGAAAAAGUGGUCCAAGGGCUCCAUCAUGGAGUUACCCAGGCUGGGAAGGAGGUGGAGAAGUUGGGCCAGGAUGUUCACCAUGCCGUUGAACAGGCCGGAAAGGAAGCAGACAAAGUGGUCCACAAUGGGGUCAACCAGGCCGGGAAGGAGGCAGAGAAAUUUGGCCAAGAGGUCCACCAUGCUGCUGGCCAGGCUGGAAAGGAAGCGGAGAAGUUUGGCCAAGGGGUCCACAACGCUGCUGGCCAGGCUGGGAAGGAGGCAGACAAGUUGCAGCAGAAUGUUCAUAAUGGGGUCAACCAAGCCGGCAAGGAAGCCAACCAGCUGCUGAAUGAGCUGGUGGUCAGAUGGUCAGACGGAUGAAGCCGCCUUAUCUGCAAAGCCCUCUAUCAGACAGUGUGGACUGGAUCCAGUCCCACCUUCAGGGAGCUGCCCUCCUAGUUAGGGAGGUCUACAGGGAGGAACACGAAGCCUCUCCUGGGGAACAGGAAACAGUUACUGAGCCAAGAGCUAUUACAGUGCAAUCAGCGUGCGUGUUGAGAAAACCAAGAGCAUCAGAGGCAGUCAACACGGCGGUUCCACGGGCCAGCAUGGAGGAGCCGCAACCACAACC